rnacentral:lncRNA from 1 species
UUCCCCCCCCGCCAUGACCAACACAACGUAUGCCAGUACCUCGCCAUAAGAAAAGGAAUAAGAUCUUUAGCUGUUUCUGGACCUGCAGACCAGGUAUUUCUUUUCCAGCCAGAGGUGCCUCAGCGCAGGCCGGAGGGGAAGGGAUCACAUCCUCCUGGGACCGGGGGCGCCGAGCUACUUCACCAGCCCUCCGUGAGCUGUCCUCGCCGCCGGGGCGGGGGGCUCCCGCCGCUCGGGGGCCACCGCCUUCCAGCCCGGCCCAUCUCCUCCGCCCGCCCGUCAGCAGCCGUCCGGCGGACAGCUCCGCCGCGGCGGGGACCGGGGAGGCCGCCGCCCCGAUGCCCCUUCCCACCCCCCCACCCCCCGCGCCUCACAGCGGCCCUCAGCGCUACGGGGGCUUCGUCCCCGUCGCCCCCUUUACCGGCUGGUCCCAGCCCCAGGAGGGACACCCCCCCCGUUACCCCCUCCCCCCCCUCCCCGCCGACGCCACUGGGGACAGCCCAGCCGGGAAGGCGUUGCCAUGACAACCCCCUUCCCGCCCCGGGGGGCCUUGCACGCGCCCUCGCCACAGGGGGGCGACGAACCCCGGCUCAGUCCUCCCCCACCCCCCACCGUCCCCGUCCCCCUUCUCGGCCGGAUCCCGCCCGCCUCACGGCCCCCGUCGGGAGGAUACAGCUUGAAGCCCCGGAGGAUCUCCUUGGCCCGCUCGUCCGUGGCCGACAUGGUCCUGCCGCGCCGCGGGCGGACGGGGCUGGGCCGGGCUGGGCCUGGCUGCGCGGGCCUGGGCGGGAAGGCGGCGGUGACAGCGGCGCCUCAGGACCCCCCCCUCCCCUCCCCCCUCCCGCCCGCCCUGCCUCCCUCGCACCCGCCACUGGCCGGCGCAACCAACCCCAGCGGCCUCCCGCUGCACCGCCCCCUCCGACCAAUCAUCCGCCGCCGUCUCUUCAUCUCCCCGCCUUCUGGCGCAGGAAGGGCGGUGCGGCUGGCCAAUCAGACCGGCGUGCCCGCCCGCCCGCUCCCCUCCCUCAUUCAAGGGCGGCUGCGCAGCGGUCGCUAAGGCGGAUGCUUCGGCUGGGCUUGACGUCGCCGGGGGGACGGGAGUCGCCGCAGGACAAAUCUCUCCCGGCCGCUCCGCUGUUAUCUCUGGCAGGUGUGACAGUUUCUGAGCUGCUAUUGCAGGUGAGAAGACGCCUCCAACCUGCUUUCUGCUUCCCCAGAAGCUAUUGUCUCAGGGUGCAGAUACACUGAUCUGGAGAAAUAACAGCUUGUUUAACUGGGAGAUGGUUUCAUAAGCUAGGGCUUCAUCCCACCCCACACUUGAUGGAAGGGGUUGUAUAACUGCGUAUCUGCAAUGACUCAGACACACACCUCUGCUGGCCUGGCCAAAUGCAAGAUGAGUGUCCAGCUUAGUCUCUGGAUCCUGUGGAACAUGGAGAGCUCAAUAGCUUCUUCAGCAGAGUAUGGGAGCUCCCAUCACCCCAUGUUCUGGAAAUGUGUGCUGGCAGCUGCAGGGGUCAGAAGCUUGGAAGGAGAGAGGAUAAACGGAUGAUGCACAGUGAAAGCACACACAGACGAGGAACGAAACUGCACCCAGAACUGUGUUAACAUUUAUGCAGCUCAGCUUUUCCCUAGAGCUACCGGCCAUUCGGUCAUGUGCAGAUGCACCUGCUCCUGCUCUAACAUGGCUGUGGUGCCUACAGUUGAUUUCAUUUUGCUUUAAGUUGGUUGAGAAGUAAAGCUAUUACAGAUGCUUUAGGAACCAAAUCCUAGCCCUGGUAGCUAAAUCUAGCCUAGCUAUGAUUUCUGAAUGUAAUGUCUAUUAUUUGGGUUAUUGGUAAGGUCCUGUGUUGUCCUAAUGUAUCUCUUAUCACAAGAGGUUUUGAUUUAAACCACCUUAUUUAUGAAAGUUAAGGAAAAAGAUAAGAAACACUAAGAUACCUAUAUUCACUGUUGGCCCUCUCCUUGGUGAGGCUGGGUGGUAAUUUUCUUGCCAAUGACACAUGAGAAUUGGAACUUUAGGAGAGGAAGAACCUGCUCCAGAAUUGUGUCCCAGGGCACCGGGAGGUGCACACCUACAAGGGACAAAGCUGGUGCCGCUGAGCGCUGAAGAGCCUGAAGAACCAGACAACAAACUCAGUGUGAUGGAAGCUGCAGGACAGAGUGGUGUCACUACAUUAAUCACAUCCUUCCUGGUCUCUGUCCCUUAUAGGUGACUUUGCAGCCUCAUGUCUUGGCUUCUGACUGAGAG